UACGGAGGGUGCAAGCGUUGCUCGGAAUCACUGGGCGUAAAGCGACCGCAGGCGGCCUGACAAGUCGGAUGUGAAAGCCCUGGGCUCAACUCAGGAAUUGCAUUCGAAACUGGCAGGCUCGAGUACGGGAGAGGGGGGUGGAAUUCCUGGUGUAGGGGUGAAAUUCGUUGAUAUCAGGAGGAACACCGGCGGCGAAGGCGGCCCCCCUGGCCCGCAACUGACGCUGAGGCGCGAAAGCGUGGGGAGCAAACAGG
rnacentral:rRNA from 1 species